UACAAAGCUGUCCAAGCGCCUUUGCCACCGAACGAGUCUGUGGUCUUUUGGGCAGUUUGACUGAGGUCGGCUGGGCCAGCUACCUGGCCAGAGCCAGGACAACGUAUGGGCCCACACAGCCAAUAACAGGUGUCCUUUUAUCAGAGCUCCCCGCGAUCAUGGAAGGGUGGAGCGAUGGCUCUGGUAUCUGCCCAUCUCCAGCUAACACUGAAACCCCUGCCUGGAUUCCCCUGCACAGGAGGUGCUGGCUGUCAGUCCCCUGGUGGGUCUGCAGCGAUCGGCCUAGACCACAAGAUGGAGGGCACAGCGCGGUGCCAUGAAAUGCAGCCAACAGGGUUAGUCCUGAGAGGGGCUGGGCACCUGCAGCUCCCACUGGUUCCCGAGGGAGAUGCAGGAACUCAGCACUGCUCAGAAUUGGCCCAAUGUGAUGCAGGUGGAACAUUCCACCGUAGGGGUGGGGACCGAGUCAAACACAGAGGUGGAGACAGGCAGGGGAAGGGAACUAUGACAUAAGCUUUCAUAGGUGAGGGCUACAUAGUCCCACUCCAUCCAAAUCACAGGGAAAGGAGCCGUUCGUGACCCUGGAACUCACUGUCACAGACAGAGCCCCAGCUGGUGACUCUAGAUCUGAAGUGUAAUUUGACUCAUGUGAGAGUUCAGAGCCAGCCAGUGCCUUCCCCCUACAGCUCCCCAGUGGGACGUGGGGCAGGUCUCUUUGCCCAGAUGAGGAGGUGGUGACGAUGACCCGCGACUCUGUUGUGAUGCAGUGAUUGUUGGGUCGGCCACCAGGGGCUGCAGCAUUUCACACCAGGAUGUCGCCCAGAGCACAUGGCUGCUCCCUGUGGGUCUGAGUACAGGGACCAGGGUGACGGAGUAGGGCCUUGUGGGACCAACCUGCUUCCAUUGCUAAAGAAGGGAAUGUGAGACACAGAAGGAUGAAGGAAAGAAUUCUUGUAAGGAGGAAGGAAACAAGGCAGGGAAAAGACUGGGAGGGAGGGGAAAUGAGGCAUCAGAUGGCGGGCGGGGGGAAUGAAGAAGUUAGUGAGAAACACCAGGGAACUGAGGAAGGGACAGAGAAGAAAGAGGGAAGGGAAAUGGGUGAGGAGAGAGACAUGAAAAAGGAAUGGGCAAAGAGGCUACAAGAGAAGAGAAAGGAGAAGCACAGAGGAAGUGGAUGGGGGUAAGAACCAGGACGGUUUUCUUUAGCUUCAGGUAGAAUCCUGAUUGCCUUUGUCAAGACGUAGGCAAAGCAGCCAGGUGUAAUGACUAGGGGUAAUAAUGGAGGCAUUUGUACAAUUCAGGAAGGAAAGGGUACAAGUGGCCAUAGCUGAGAGGUGACAUCAGCAUGGUUCUCACCUUUCAAGAGACGACAUUGCAGUUGGUCUGAUUUCCGUUGAUUGGUUCAUUGCAGCUCGUCUGUCAGAAGUUCUUAUUGUACCACUUUAGUAGUCAGAGAAACUGUUCCUAUCAAAAGGUAAGGAAUGCACUUUCUCCUAGCAAUGGAGUGGAAACUAACCAAUCUGAGUGUACUUUCAGGUGAAGGAAGUGAAUCUAUCCUUUGCUGUCAAAGGCUACAAGCAGUUUUGUCAGAAUAAAGCAAUAUACAUAACCAAAGCUUCCGAGAGGUUACAGAAAUAUCUACUUGUUCUACUCAAGAAUAAGGAAGCCACUUAUACCUACUAGAUUGCUAAAAAAACAGCUGAUUGUAUGGAGAGGAACAAGAUAAACCAAUACAGGAAUUCAUCCCACAGAAGAAGGUCAUAUUUUGAGAUACAAGGAUGACAGAUGGCUGUAGGAUACAGGAAUGAAUUAGCGGAUCCAUCCUUUUAGGGAGGUAAGAUAUAGAAUACACCCUUACCAUAAUAGUCAAUGGUUCUGGUCAUACUUUCAGGUGGAAGAAAUGUAAUGGAUAAAAUCAUCACCUCUCUAAAGAGCACAAGAAGUUGCUGUACUGAAUAAAGCAAUAAAAAAUUGGGAGUUACCUGUUCAGAGGUAAGGAAAGUCAGUAAUUCUAACCAAUGAUCAUGACAUCUACUCCUUUCUCCUUCCCGGCUAAUGGUUGGUUGUUCCUACAAGGAUGUAUCACAGAAAAAAUGCAACUAACCAGAAUGUGAAGAUGAGCAUUUAACCUGCUCUUACAUUUGCAGAGAUGAGUUGUCCAGCUGAUUCUCUUUGUGCAGAAUUGAUCAUUGUUGCUUAUUUAUCAAAUGUCAAGAAGAAAUCAGUGGAAUUGAUCAUUUCUAUCAAGAGGUAAGGAAUGCACCUCCUCUCAGCACAGGGGCAGGAAUAACAGACUCUGUUUCUAUUUUCAGGUGAAAUAAAGGUCUGACCAUUGCAGGGGGGAAGGGGAGAAGAUAAGAGGCUGCUGAAUUUAAUAAUAGUCAGACAGGUAACAAUACCUGGCCAGGGGGAAGAAAAGCAUCUUUUACUUCUAGUUCAGAAAGAGGAAAGCAGCCAAUUAUAUGCUUCAAGUUGUAACCAGUGUAGUUGGCUGUACCUCUAAGAAUCAAAGCUUUGUGGUGCAACAUCACUGAGAAGUAAGUGAGCACUGGGAAGUCUGUAGAAGCCUAAUGAUCUGGAUGCUAAGGAAACAUUUCUAUUGAUGACUCUUCAUAACUGGUAAUGAGAAAUAAUAAUAAAUAGUUGUCAGGUUUUGCUAACUGGAGAUGUGAACAGACCAGGUGGCCAUUCCUGCCAGGGAGAAGUAAGGGUAAGUGGCUGUCCCGGGCAAGGAGGUAAGAAAUACCAGUCUCCAAACAUCCAUGUGUAUAUCAAGUGGUGUGGAGUUUACUUUCAGGGAGAACUGUGGAGGACCUUACUUGUCAUGGGAGAGUGUGAAAAGCAGAGGCAAGACAAAGCAACAUGGACUUGCCAGCUGCUGAAUCCAUGGAGGACUCCAAUGAGAAGAUGCUGUUAUUUCAAGGAGCAACAAACAGAAAACAGAAGAGUCAUUUCAAAUAGUUCAGCUAGUUGCAAAUCUGAAUAUGAAGCAAGUCAGCAGACGUGGAGAUGAGAGAAAUGCAGCUGAUUUGAACUUUGAGGGUGUGAAAACUUCAGGAAGUUCCUAGAAGAUCUGUGAUAUCUAUAGGAAGGAAACCAGUGAAACUCAUCACUGCUGCCAAGAGGUAAGGAACUCACCUCACAAUGGAGAAACUAAUGGAUCUGGUUUCUCUUCAGGUGAAAGAAAUGCAGCUGAUCUGAUCUGCUUGGGGUUGAGGACUAUAAGCAGUCAUAUUACUUAAGAAUAAAGGAACAUGUUCCCAGACUUGCAGAGAGGAAAAAAAGUUGCCUUCCUUGACUGGAAUGGGAAGACAAUCCCUUAUCACCAUCAAGUUUCAAACCCCAAUGCAGGAGACCAUCACUGACAGAGGAGAAGAGUUACAGACACUCAGAAUUUGAGCACAAAGGAAUAGUAAUGGAGCUGAACAGAUCCAACACCUGAAAGGACAAUUGGAUCUCAUAAAAUAUGAGACCAUGAAAGAGACCCUUCAUUCAAUAAAGCAACAGAAUUAGCUCUGAGGAGAGGCAAGAAGCAUUUGUUAAGUCUACCAAAUGAGCAUACAAUCAACUCUACAAAAUUGCUAACUUAUGUUGUGUCAAAGAGUUUGUUACAGAUGAUCAUACAUCUCAGGAUCUAAGAGUUGCUCAGGGGCAUGGCAGACCUCUGGGGAUUCAUCUUUAUCAGGAGGUGAUGAAUCUGCUUGUCAGUGGCUUUGGUUAGACUUUCAAAUGAAGGAAACACAGUCAGUGGGGUCAGUAUUCAAGAAACAAUGUUGAAAAGUUGCCUGGGGUCACCUCUUGGGCUAAGGGGAGCAGCUGGUCCCAUCUGCUGGGAUGGAAGCAAAGAAGAAAGCACUGGCCACUGGUUAGUACUGGGACACAGGAUAUUGGACGGGCCUGGGACAGGGUAUGUAACUAUAGUGACCACUGGGUCCUUUCCCCACUGUGGUCCUGGCUCGCAUGCACAGGGUGAAACUGAUCGCCAUGUUUGGGGUCAGGAAGGAAUUUUCCUCCAGAGCAGAUUGGCCAGAG